rnacentral:rRNA from 1 species
AAGCGAGACAGUGAUGUGGAGCGGACCCCUUAAAGAAUGUCGUAGUCCGGAUUGGAGUCUGCAACUCGACUCCAUGAAGUCGGAAUCGCUAGUAAUCGCAGGUCAGAAUACUGCGGUGAAUACGUUCCCGGGCCUUGUACACACCGCCCGUCACACCAUGGGAGUGGGAUGCAAAAGAAGUAGUUAGUCUAACCUUCGGGAGGACGAUUACCACUUUGUGUUUCAUGACUGGGGUGAAGUCGUAACAAGGUAACCCUAGGGGAACCUGGGGUUGGAUCACCUCCUU